AAAGUGGCGAACGGCUGAGUAACACGUGGGCAACCUGCCCUUUGCACUGGGAUAGCCUCGGGAAACCGAGGUUAAUACCGGAUACUCCAUAUUUGUCGCAUGGCGAAUAUGGGAAAAGCUCCGGCGGCAAAGGAUGGGCCCGCGGCCUGUUAGCUAGUUGGUGGGGUAGUGGCCUACCAAGGCAAUGAUGGGUAGCCGGGUUGAGAGACCGACCGGCCAGAUUGGGACUGAGACACGGCCCAGACUCCUACGGGAGGCAGCAGAU
rnacentral:rRNA from 1 species